UAUUCUAGCUUAUAUAUGUUUUGUUUCAAAACCACAAAUUCAACAACACAUAACAUAUAUAUGAAAUAUAUAAUACAUAAUAUGUGCCCAAUAGUUUUACUGAUCCACAACACAUAACAUAUAUGCAAAGUUGCAUAACAAAUUUCAUGAUCCAUAUAUUAAAACUCCAUAGCAUCCAUACAUCCAAAAUUCCAUAGCAUCCAUAUAUACAUAUAGUUCCAUAGCAUCCAUACAUACAUAGCUCCAUAACAAAUAUAGUUCCAUAGCAUCCAUUCAUUAUUCACAUACAAUUUUUUGAGCUAGAAUAUUUUUAGUUUGUAUUAAUAUGUUACCAUUAUUAUUUUAGAUGAAAAAAAAAAGACAACUAUGGCUCCAAAGGUUUGCUUUAUGUCUUCAUGCCACAUAAGUAAACGAAGUAGAAG
rnacentral:lncRNA from 1 species